CGGGCCAGUGUCCAAGGCCUGUCCCCACCCUGACGUGCGUCGCUGGUAACGGCGGGGUGCGAAGCUCGGGGAAGAAGCCCAAGGGUUGGCGUUCCGUCCGCCGGCCACAGGCAAGGGGAAAACCGGACGGGUGAACGUGAGUGAACCCUUGAUGAUGCCUCGUCACGUUUGAGCCC
rfam:Frankia sp. ETN1h contig_79, whole genome shotgun sequence.